rnacentral:rRNA from 1 species
GAUGAACGCUGGCGGCGUGCCUAAUACAUGCAAGUCGAGCGAACAGACGAGGAGCUUGCUCCUCUGACGUUAGCGGCGGACGGGUGAGUAACACGUGGAUAACCUACCUUUAAGACUGGGAUAACUUCGGGAAACCGGAGCUAAUACCGGAUAAUAUAUUGAACCGCAUGGUUCAAUAGUGAAAGACGGUUUUGCUGUCACUUAUAGAUGGAUCCGCGCCGCAUUAGCUAGUUGGUAAGGUAACGGCUUACCAAGGCAACGAUGCGUAGCCGACCUGAGAGGGUGAUCGGCCACACUGGAACUGAGACACGGUCCAGACUCCUACGGGAGGCAGCAGUAGGGAACCUUCCGCAAUGGGCGAAAGCCUGACGGAGCAACGCCGCGUGAGUGAUGAAGGUCUUCGGAUCGUAAAACUCUGUUAUUAGGGAAGAACAAAUGUGUAAGUAACUAUGCACGUCUUGACGGUACCUAAUCAGAAAGCCACGGCUAACUACGUG